GCCCCGCCUGUAUUCCCCGACUCCCCUUCCCUCCAGCACCUAGCCAUGUUUUAAGGAGAGACGGAUAACCUUCUGAGGCCAGGACAGCUCCAUGCGGGCCGGAAUCCUCCCACCUCCUACACUUCUACCCCAGGCUCCCAGGGGCUCCUUCCCUCCCCCUCCUCCAGUGUCCAGGGCACCUCAGCCCCGGUCCCCACACUGGCCUAAGAGCUCAUCGCCAUAUUAAGAAAGGAAAAGGAGAGAUGCCGGAGCUAAAAAUAAGACCAGAUGAGUCGGAGCUGAACACGGAAGGCCACAGAAAAUCUCAAAAGCAUGGCAGGAGUGAGGCCAAGAGGGACAGCUGUCACUGUAGCAGGAGAGGUUGGAGCUAGCCUAAGCACAGCACGUUGGAGCUGAAGAGACCUCAGAAGCCCAUAUCCUGGUCUCCCUGAAGAGUGGCUAACGUGGGAAAGCCCCAAGGCCAGAGCAAAG
rnacentral:lncRNA from 1 species